ensembl:lncRNA
UUUUUUUCUUCUCAUUCAGUUUAGAAGUUUAUUUUGCCAAGGCUGAGGACCAUGCCUGUGACACAGCCUCAGGAGGUCCUGACGACAUGUGUCCAAGGUGGUCAGGCUACAGCUCAGUUUUAUACAUUUUAGGAAGACAUAACACAUCACUCAAUACAUGUGAGAUAUACAGUGGUUCAGUCAGGAAAGGCAGAACAAUUCAAAAACUCGAAGUGGAGGCUUCCAGCUCAUAGGUAUGUUAGAGUAGGUAGUUAGAUAUGGACAGGGCAGGAACGCACCCCCUCACACCCCCACCCCCACCCCCUAUUGCCCCCAGGACUGUCAGGCGACCAUAAGGUGAUGGUCAGGUGGUUGUUAAACUGUCUCUCUAAAAUGGUAAGUGGUCACAGUCAGCACCAGGAAAAGACAGUCUCCUAAUAGAAAACACUCGGAGCUGGUGUUACCCUCUUCUCAGUAAGAUCUCAAACAGGCACACUAAGAAGCAAAGUGGCCUCUUAUACAAGCUUCCACCGGGAAUGCUCAAAGGGAAGGGAAAAACUGCUCAAGUGAACAGAUGCACAGCUUCAGCAAACCCCAGAACCAUGACAAUGUAUAAAACCCCAAGUCAGGGGACGAACAGGGCACCUGGAUCUUGCAAGUCACCUGCUUGGCCCUUCCAAGUGUACUGCUUCCUUUCACUCCUGCUCUAAAACUUUUUAACAAAUUCUCACUCCUGUUCUAAAACUUGCCCCAGUCUCUCCCUCUGCCUUAAACCAACUACAGCCCCUCAGCGAAACUCUUUCCUCCAAGGAGGCAACAAUCAAGUUGUAGCAGACCCACAUAGAUUCACCACUGCUAAGAGGUGGACUCAGAUUUUCUGAUUGGCAACUUGUCAAAAGAGUUCACCUAAAGACCAGAAACCCAGUCGGGCAAGGUGGUUCAUGCUUGUAAUCCCAGCAUCUUGGGAGGCUAAGGCAGGCAGAUCACUUGAGGCCAGGAGUUCAAGACCAGCCUGGCCAACAUGGCAAAAUCCUGUCUCUACUGAAAAUACAAAAAGCUGGAGUGAGGCUGGAUCAUGGUGGAUCACACUUGUAAUCCCAAUACUCUGGGAGGCCGAGGCAGGUGGAACACUUGAGGUCAUAAGUUCAAGACCAGCCUGGCCAACAUAGUGAAAUCCCAUCUCUACUAAAAAUACAAAAAAUUAGCCAGGCAUGGUAGUGCAUGCCUGUAAUCCCAGCUACUCAGGAGGCUGAGGCACGAGAAUCGUGUGAAUUCCAGAGGUGGAGGCUGCAAUAAGCCGAGAUCGCACGACUGAAAUCCAGCCUGGGUGCUCAAAAAAUAAAAAAUAAAAAUAAAUAAAAAAUAAAUACCUGAAAUCCCAUAUAAGGGAGUGUCUGGGUUAAGAUAAGGGGUUGUAGAGACCAUGGUUCAGAUAUGCAGAUGAAGACUCCAGACAGCAGGCUUCAGAAAGAAUAGAUUGUAAAUAUUUCUUAUGAGACUUAAAAUGAUGAAAGACUCAGAUAAUUCUCUCCAGGAUUGGAGAAAAGACUUAGAAAGGGAAAGGUAUUUUCUUUUUUCUUUUUUUUUGAGACGGAGUCUCGCUUCUGUCGCCUCAGGUUGGAGUGCAGUGGCCGGAUCUCAGCUCACUGCAAGCUCC